GAGCUGGAAAGCAGCACAGUAGGAGCACAGAAUCCUAUCAGAGCCAGCAGCAAAAUACUUAAAUGCUGAAAUAAUUCAACAUCUGCUUGGAGCAAGAACUAUCCAUAUGAAAGACAUUGAUCUGUCCCAGACUUUCAGGCUGGAAGGGACUGUGAUGUUCUUUCAGUCUGACCUCCCCCAUGAUUCAACCAUACAACAUCAUUUUGUAUCAAGCUCAGAUCUCCCAAAUGAGCUUGUAUUAAAACUCUUAAAUGAAGGACUGAAGGACCCCAUUUUUAGGAGAUCAUGAUGAGGAAAUUAAAGCACAGGGAGGUCAGAAGCUAACAUUUUCCAACUUGGGCAACUAAAGUGUUUCCAAGGGCCACCCCCUCUGAGGUUACAUGAAAGGGGCCUAAAGCAUUUCAGCUGCUGCUGGGUACAACAUAACACUGCAGGGACUUCAGCGUGGGAGCUGCUGAGCCCUGAGGAGGAAACAGGUAGGGCUACAACCCUCUCAUGUCUUCAGCAAGUCAAAUAUGGGUGAGAAACUUGCUCCAACAUCCUCCUUCUGCAUCAUGCACUGGCUGAACAUAUACAAAGCUCCUGGUACUGUUUGAGUUAUCCGUACCAUGGGGCUUUCUAUUUCAGAUGAUUUUGCCAGAGGAGAUAUCUAUUUUAAAGUUUUAAACAUAUUUUUUAAAUCCUCACUUCUGCCAGUGUUGUGUUAACUCCCUGCAGACGUUACAGAGGUGGCUUUGGGAAGUGUUGGUUCCUGUGUGAGUGGGGAGGAGGAGUGGAGCAAGGCAGACCUGCAUCCUUUUAGCUUUGCUGCAGAGGAUCUGCACAGGCAAAUGCUCAUCUCUGCUGCAGAAGAAAACCAAGUAUCUAGCUGACAUUAAGGUAUCCAUCAGACAUGAAAACUGGGGGGCAAAUGUG